rnacentral:tRNA from 1 species
GCCUGGGUGGCUCAGUUGGUUGAGUGUCUGACUUCGGCCCAGGUCAUGGUCUCACAGUUUGUGGGUUCGAGCCCCGCAUCAGGCU